UGCAUGCUGAGUCUUUUUAAGACGUAACGCGCGUCCGGCGUAUAUACAAAAUUUCAAUCCUGGUAGAUUAUGAUGAUAUAAAAAAGAAGAUUUGUAUGGUUGUCAAUGAGACAACUCUCCACAAGAGACCAAAUGACACAGAAAUUAACAAUUUUAGGUCGCCGUACGGUCUUCAACAAUGAACAAAGCCCAUACCGCAUAGUCAACUAUAAAAGGCCACGGAAUGACAAAUGUAAAACAAUUCAAACGAGAAAACUAACGGCCCAAUUAAAGAACAAAAAAUGAACGAAAAACAAAUAUGUAACACAUAAACAAACGACAACCACUGAAUUACAGGCUCCUGACUUGAACAGCCACAUACAUACAGAAUGUGGCGGGGUUAAACAUGUUAGCGGGAUCCAACCUCCCCUAACGUGAAAGUGUGUAACAGUACAACAUAAGAACAAAUUUAACAAAUCAGUUGAAAAAGGCUUAACUCAUCAGAUGGAUAAAAUUGAAACACAUCCAACAAAACACAAAGUGGACGUGGCCGGGUACUUAAUUGUACUUGUACAUUCCAACAACUAAAUACAAAACGUACUCGCUCCGUUACUAACAGCUAGUUCAACUAGGUUAACUAUAACC
rnacentral:lncRNA from 1 species